rnacentral:rRNA from 1 species
GAUGAACGCUGGCGGCGUGCCUAAUACAUGCAAGUCGAGCGAACAGAUGAGGAGCUUGCUCCUCUGACGUUAGCGGCGGACGGGUGAGUAACACGUGGAUAACCUACCUAUAAGACUGGGAUAACUUCGGGAAACCGGAGCUAAUACCGGAUAAUAUAUUGAACCGCAUGGUUCAAUAGUGAAAGUCGGUUUUGCUGUCACUUAUAGAUGGAUCCGCGCCGCAUUAGCUAGUUGGUAAGGUAACGGCUUACCAAGGCAACGAUGCGUAGCCGACCUGAGAGGGUGAUCGGCCAGACGGGAACUGAGACACGGUCCAGACUCCGAGAGGAGGCAGCAGUAGGGAAUCUUCCGCAAUGGGCGAAAGCCUGACGGAGCAACGCCGCGUGAGUGAUGAAGGUCUUCGGAUCGUAAAACUCUGUUAUUAGGGAAGAACAAAUGUGUAAGUAACUAUGCACGUCUUGACGGUACCUAAUCAGAAAGCCACGGCUAACUACGUG